rnacentral:rRNA from 1 species
CCUACGGGUGGCAGCAGUGAGGAAUAUUGGUCAAUGGGCGCGAGCCUGAACCAGCCAAGUAGCGUGAAGGAGGACUGCCCUACGGGUUGUAAACUUCUUUUAUAAAGGAAUAAAGUGAGGCACGUGUGCCUUUGUGUAUGUACGUUAUGAAUAAGGAUCGGCUAACUCCGUGCCAGCAGCCGCGGUAAUACGGAGGAUCCGAGCGUUAUCCGGAUUUAUUGGGUUGAAAGGGAGCGUAGUGGGGUUGUUAAGUCAGUGGUGAAAGUUUGCGGCUCAACCGUAAAAGUGCAUUUGAUACGGGCAGUCUUGAGUUCAGUUGAGGUCGGCGCACUUCGUUGUGUAGCGG